rnacentral:sRNA from 2 species
UCGAUUAUUCGCACCAUCCGAAAGAUGGUGGGUUAGCGCGCGGUUCCACAGACACACGCCAUGCAACCCGCCCCACGAGGCGGGUUUU